AUGAACGCUGGCGGCGUGCCUAAUACAUGCAAGUCGAGCGAACGGACGAGAAGCUUGCUUCUCUGAUGUUAGCGGCGGACGGGUGAGUAACACGUGGAUAACCUACCUAUAAGACUGGGAUAACUUCGGGAAACCGGAGCUAAUACCGGAUAAUAUUUUGAACCGCAUGGUUCAAAAGUGAAAGACGGUCUUGCUGUCACUUAUAGAUGGAUCCGCGCUGCAUUAGCUAGUUGGUAAGGUAACGGCUUACCAAGGCAACGAUGCAUAGCCGACCUGAGAGGGUGAUCGGCCACACUGGAACUGGGUCACGGUCCAGACUCCUACGGGAGGCAGCAGUAGGGAAUCUUCCGCAAUGGGCGAAAGCCUGACGGAGCAACGCCGCGUGAGUGAUGAAGGUCUUCGGAUCGUAAAACUCUGUUAUUAGGGAAGAACAUAUGUGUAAGUAACUGUGCACAUCUUGACGGUACCUAAUCAGAAAGCCACGGCUAACUACGUG
rnacentral:rRNA from 1 species